UGGCGAACGGGUGAGUAACACGUGGGUGAUCUGCCCUGCACUCUGGGAUAAGCCUGGGAAACUGGGUCUAAUACCGGAUAGGACCAUGCUUUAGUGUGUGUGGUGGAAAGUUUUUUCGGUGUAGGAUGAGCCCGCGGCCUAUCAGCUUGUUGGUGGGGUAAUGGCCUACCAAGGCGGCGACGGGUAGCCGGACUGAGAGGUUGGUCGGCCACAUUGGGACUGAGAUACGGCCAG
rnacentral:rRNA from 1 species